GUCUUCACCACAAUAAGAUCCCAAAUCCCAACUCCAGGAUCGAUCCCACAUGACCUCCAUCGCAUUCUUACCUCCUACUCCCCCACCCACACUUGUUGUACUAAGAUUCACUCAUGCAUGCAGUUGCACUCGGCGUUCUUCGUUUUGCUUGUUAGAUGCAUGCCUCCUCCACAGGAUGAGAACAGAAAGACGAAGGAAUAAAGCUCAGCCAUCGAUCGAGCUGCUGCGGGAAGGAGUCGCUUCACAGUCUGAGCCAUAAGGUCAUCUUCCCAAAAGGUUCCGAGUUCAUACGCAGGAACCGAGGGCGCAGUGUAGGCAUAUGCUGCAGGUACCACUCUUUGGUUACUCCCAUCGCUGUUAUUGCUUCUGCUGAUGUCGUUGUUGUUCUCGUCGUCGAUUAUGUCAUUGUGCUGCGGCUGGAAGAUGUCGUCGUUGAUCAACGAGUCAAGGAAGGAGGAGAAGAUGUCAUCAGUGUUCAGCGUAUCGGAGAAAUUUUUCUGGGUAUCCUUUGCUCGGAGGAGGGUGGGAGCGGUGCUGGGGAUUGCGCUAGGGUUAGGGUUACGGUAUAGCUGCGGUGAAAUAGGCUGGUGGAUGGCGUCAGCUACGGAAGUGGCCAGUGGUUUGUGGUUGCGGGGAUCUAUGCCUUGCCUGACGAGCUUUUUGCUGAGGUAGAACAAGAAGAUCAAAUCGAAGGCACGACGAGGAAACCCUAGAGGUGGGGAGAUCGAAGGGGUUGGUGGUGUUUGAUGACCUGUUGCCGAGGAGGCGGUGGAGGCGAAGGAUGAGGUCUUCCUCGUCGGGGGCGAUGGGACCAUGCUUGAUGGAGGGACGGAGGUAGUUCAUCCAGCGGAGGCGGCAGCUCUUGCCGCAGCGGAGGAGCCCGGCGCGCUUGGGCAGCGUCCGCCACCGCCCCUCCCCCUCCCGCCGCACGAAGCUCGCCAGCACCUCGUCCUCCUCCGACGUCCACGGACCCCUCUUCAGGCCCACUUUGCCGCAGCACGGCGUCGGCCCUCGUCGCUGCUUGUCCUCGACCUCCAUCGCCGCCAUCGUCGACGAGCCUGGAGCUGAUGACUGGCAAAGGAUUACCUUCGGUGGUGUACCAAUCAAACAUGGUGGGAGCCACGAGGCCUGCGGCGUGGCGACCGCACCUGUUUCAGCUAGCACAGUAUCGAAGGAAGCGUAGUUGGCGACGAAUCAGCUUUGACCUCAAUCAACCUAUUUAUUAUUAUUAUUAUUAUUAUUAUUAUUAUUAUUAUUAUUAUUAUUUAGAUUAAAAGUUCUAAGUAAUUUAAGAUAUAAGGAUCUUAAUUUAGAUAUAUCAUAAUCUUUUAUUUCAAAUUUGAUAGAUUUAUAGCUCCGUGACAUCGCCGUGACCCUUCCACACUUCCAUUUGAAGUCAAUGAGGUAUGACUUCGUCCCUUUGUUGUAGCUUCAAUUUGCCACAGAAUCUGCAGUGAACAGGAGAAAGGUCGCCGAGGUCCUUGUGUCCACUUGAUGAAGCUAAUAUGGAUGAUUGAUGUACAGAUGUUGGAUCCAUUGGGCCACAUAGCAGCCUGAAAAUUAUCCUCGGCCUGAAAGGAAAUAACUCCAGUCUGAUGUGUACAUCAAACCGAGCAUGAGAACAAUUGAUGCUAAUAAUACAUGAGUGCUCUCAUGAUCAGA